rnacentral:rRNA from 1 species
UACGGGGGGGCAAGCGUUGUUCGGAAUUACUGGGCGUAAAGGGCUCGUAGGUGGCCAACUAAGUCAGGCACGUGAAAUCCCUCAGCUUAACUGGGGAACUGCGUCUGAUACUGGAUGGCUUGAGUUUGGGAGAGGGAUGCGGAAUUCCAGGUGUAGCGGUGAAAUGCGUAGAUAUCUGGAGGAACACCGGUGGCGAAGGCGGCAUCCUGGACCAACACUGACACUGAGGAGCGAAAGCCAGGGGAGCAAACGGG